GUUAUUAUAGUGUAAUAAACACGCUACUUUUUCAUUGUAGAACUAAAGGAACAUCCUUUUAAAAACA
rnacentral:tRNA from 1 species